CCUAUCAGCCGGCUAUCGCUUCCCGUUUUUCGGGAGGAGGAAAGUCCGGACAGCAUAGGGCAGCGCACCGGCUAACGGCCGGCUUCCAUUUCGGUGGAAAGAGAGAAUGCCACAGAAAAUAACCGUCCGGCCCCGGCUGGGUAAGGGUGAAAAUGUGAGGUAAGGGCUCACGGCGGUUUGCAGUAAUGCAGGCCGCGGGUAAACCUUGCGUGCUGAAAUGCCACGUAAAUCAGUGUUUGAAGGCGGCCCGCCUGAAUGCCUUCACAGGCAUGCGCUGAAGGGUAGGCAGCUAGAUUGUUUCAGCAAUGAAACAGCCAGAUAAAUGAUAGCCAGUCUGACCUUAAGGUCAGUCUACAGAAUCCGGCUUAUGGCUGAUAGUUUUU
rnacentral:RNase_P_RNA from 1 species